CCCAUUGUCAAAGUUCUCUUAGCUACUUGGCUCACUGUGUUCUUAACUGCAUUCCUCAAGUUCUCCUCCAAAUGCCUUAAGUCGAUAGCUUGGCAAAGCGCAACGAGAUAGGUUGAUGACAUUAGCUUCAAGAUGUCCACAGCCUCAGCAGUUUUCCUUGCUGAGAUUAAGCCCAAGGAAUUCACAUCUUGGUUGUGUUGCUCAGCACUUUGGACAUGGUUAGUCACUGGAUUUGCCAAGAAUUGAAGCUCCGAGCAGUAAGAAGCCAUCGCGAUUUCAGCUCCUUUGAAACCAUAGUCCAAGCUUGGAUUCCUUCCUGCUGUGAGAUUAGAUGGCAAUCCAUUGUUGUAAUAGUCGUUGACAAGCUCCGAAAAUUGGGCAAACAUCAAUUUUCCAAUUGAUGCAAGGGCCAAUCUUGUAUUAUCCAUGGACACACCAAUAGG